CCUUGUAUCAGGUGCUCUAUU
rnacentral:miRNA from 1 species